rnacentral:rRNA from 1 species
AGUCUGGUGCCAGCAGCCGCGGUAGUUCCAGCUCUAAUAGCGUAUAUUAAAGUUGUUGCAGUUAAAAAGCUCGUAGUUGGAUUUCGGCGUGCGCUCAGGCUGGUCGGCCGUCAAGGUCUGUACCGUUUGGGUCACGCCCCACUGUAGGAUACUCACCGCUGUCCUUAACUGGGUGGCGGUCAAAGGGGGUGUGCAUGGGGGCAACUCUGCGCAUAUCUCUGGGGUUCCUACUCUUUUACUUUGAGCAAAUUAGAGUGUUCAAAGCAGGCAAUCGAGCCUUGAAUACUUCAGCAUGGGAUAAUGGAACAGGACUGGGGUCCUGAUUUCGUUGGUUUCUGGGAUCUCAGUAAUGAUUAAUAGGGAUAGUUGGGGGCAUUAGUAUUUAAUUGUCAGAGGUGAAAUUCUUGGAUUUAUGAAAGACUAACUUCUGCGAAAGCAUUUGCCAAGGAUGUCUUCAUUAAUCAAGAACGAAAGUUAGGGGAUCGAAGACGAUCAGAUACCGUCGUAGUCUUAACCAUAAACGAUGCCGACCAGCGAUUGGGAGACGUUACAUGGAUGACUCCCCCAGCAGCUUGCGAGAAAUCACAAGUCUUUGGGUUCCGGGGGGAGUAUGGUCGCAAGGCUGAGACUUAAAGGAAUUGACGGAAGGGCACCACCAGGAGUGGAGCCUGCGGCUUAAUUUGACCCAACACGGGGAAACUUACCUGGUCCAGACAUAGUAAGGAUUGACAGAUUUGAGAGCUCUUUCUUGAUUCUAUGGGUGGUGGUGCAUGGCCGUUCUUAGUUGGUGGAGUGAUUUGUCUGGUUAACUCCGUUAACGAACGAGACCUUAACCUGCUAAAUAUGUCACUGGUAGACUUCUGCCAAAACAGGUGGGUGUCUAGGGGAAAGUUUCGAUGGACUCCGACGCAUUCAUCUGUGGAUGACUACCAGGAUGUGCUUCUUAGAGGGACUAUCUGUAUCAAAGCAGAUGGAAGUUUGAGGCAAUAACAGGUCUGUGAUGCCCUUAGAUGUUCUGGGCCGCACGCGCGCUACGCUGACAAGUUCAACGAGUUUAACACCUUGCUCGAUAGGGCUGGGUAAUCUUUGAAAAACUUGUCGUGAUGGGGAUAGAUCAUUGUAAUUAUUGGUCUUCAACGAGGAAUUCCUAGUAAGCGUGAGUCAUCAGCUCGCGUUGAUUACGUCCCUGCCCUUUGUACACACCGCCCGUCGCUCCUACCGAUUGAAUGAUCCGGUGAAAUGUUGGGAGCUGGGGUCUUUUGGCGGCGGGGCAACUCGUCGUCAGGGAUUCUGCAAACUUCAUUAAACCUUAUCAUUUAGA